rnacentral:miRNA from 1 species
GCACUCCAUCGGAGGCAGACAC